rnacentral:rRNA from 1 species
UACGGAGGGUGCGAGCGUUGUCCGGAAUCACUGGGCGUAAAGGGCGCGUAGGCGGCGCGGUAAGCGUGCGGUGAAAGCCCGGGGCUCAACCCCGGGUCGGCCGUGCGGACUGCCGGGCUCGAGCACUGUAGAGGCGGGUGGAAUUCCGGGUGUAGCGGUGGAAUGCGUAGAGAUCCGGAAGAACACCGGUGGCGAAGGCGGCCUGCUGGGCAGUUGCGUGACACUGAGGCGCGACGAGCGUGGGGAGCAAACAGG